UAUCUGUGAGGAUAAGUAACUCUGAGG
rnacentral:piRNA from 1 species